CAGUCGCCACGGGAAUACGAAGGGUGCAAGCGUUAAUCGGAAUUAUUGGGCGUAAAGGGUGCGUAGGCGGUUUGACAAGUCAUCUGUGAAAUCUAUGGGCUCAACCCAUAGUCUGCAGGCGAAACUGUCGGGCUUGAGUAUGGGAGAGGUGAGUGGAAUUUCCGGUGUAGCGGUGAAAUGCGUAGAUAUCGGAAGGAACACCUGUGGCGAAAGCGGCUCACUGGACCAUAACUGACGCUGAGGCACGAAAGCUAGGGGAGCAAACAGGAUUAGAUACCCCUGUAGUCCCUGUCUCUUAUAC
rnacentral:rRNA from 1 species